UCCCUGGUGGCUCAGAUGGUAAAGAAUCUGCCUGCGAUGCGGGAGACCCAGGUUUGAUCCCUGGGCAGGGAA
rnacentral:tRNA from 1 species